AACGCUGGCGGCGCGCUUAACACAUGCAAGUCGAGCGAGAACCAGGGCUUCGGCCCUGGGGACAGCGGCGAACGGGUGAGUAACACGUGGGUAAUCUGCCCUCGGUUCUGGGAUAGCCCGGGGAAACCCGGAUUAAUACCGGAUAGCCUCUAGAGCCCUCGGGCUCGUGAGAAAAGGUAGCUUCGGCCUCCGACCGAGGAGGAGCCUGCGGCGGAUUAGCUUGUUGGCGGGGUAACGGCCCACCAAGGCGACGAUCCGUAGCUGGUCUGAGAGGACGAUCAGCCACACUGGGACUGAGACACGGCCCAGACUCCUACGGGAGGCAGCAGUGGGGAAUCUUGCGCAAUGGGCGAAAGCCUGACGCAGCGACGCCGCGUGAGGGAAGAAGGCCUUCGGGUUGUAAACCUCUUUCAGGAGGGACGAAGCCACUCGGGUUAAUAGCCCAGAGGGUGACGGUACCUCCAGAAGAAGCCCCGGCUAACUACGUGCCAGCCGCCGCCGUAACAC
rnacentral:rRNA from 1 species